UGGCGGACGGGUGAGUAACGCGUGGGUAACCUGCCUCACACUGGGGGAUAACAGUUAGAAAUAGCUGCUAAUACCGCAUAAGCGCACAGUUCCGCAUGGAACAGUGUGAAAAACUCCGGUGGUGUGAGAUGGACCCGCGUCUGAUUAGCCAGUUGGCGGGGUAACGGCCCACCAAAGCGACGAUCAGUAGCCGGCCUGGGAGGGUGAACGGCCACAUUGGGACUGAGACACGGCCCAA
rnacentral:rRNA from 1 species